rnacentral:rRNA from 1 species
UCACCUGCCGAAGCUACCGGCCCUGAAAAUGGAUGACGCUGAGCGCCGUGCCGAUACCGGGCCGUCAAGACGAAGCCGGCUUGGCGCCAGGCCUUGACGAGUAGGAGGGCGCGGAGGCGAGCGCAGAAGGGUGACGGCGCGAGCCCGCCUGGAGCCGCCUCCGUCGCAGAUCUUGGUAGUAGUAGCAAUUACUCUAGGGAGGACCUGGAGGGCUGAAGUGGAGAAGGGUUUCUUGUGAACAGCCGUUGUACAAGAGUCAGUCGAUCCUAAGCCCUAGGAGAAAUCCGAAAAGGACGGGAGAGCGUUUAGCAGCCGCUCCCCGGCCGGGCGAAAGGGAAACCGGUUAAUAUUCCGGUACCCGGGGCGGUACCGCACAUCGCGGGCUCUCGCUCGCGAGCGCUCGACAGGGUAACCUGAACACGCCAAGCGACGCCGGCGGGAGGUCCGGGAAGAGUUAUCUUUUCUACAUAAGCGUUCGAGUUCCCUGGAAUCCCGUCACGGGGAGAUAGGGUUCGGAGCGCGAAGAGCGCCGCUGUUGCCGCGGCGUCCGGACUCGACCCCCCGGACCUUGAAAAGCUUGGUCAGGGCUACGCGGAAGACCGCCCCGGCUCGUACCCAUAUCCGCAGCCGGUCUCCUA